UCUUUCAGUAGGGAAGAAGCCGCAAGGUGACGGUACCUGCAGAAGAAGCGCCGGCUAACUACGUGCCAGCAGCCGCGGUAAUACGUAGGGCGCAAGCGUUAUCCGGAAUUAUUGGGCGUAAAGAGCUCGUAGGCGGUUUGUCGCGUCUGCCGUGAAAGUCCGGGGCUCAACUCCGGAUCUGCGGUGGGUACGGGCAGACUAGAGUGAUGUAGGGGAGACUGGAAUUCCUGGUGUAGCGGUGAAAUGCGCAGAUAUCAGGAGGAACACCGAUGGCGAAGGCAGGUCUCUGGGCAUUAACUGACGCUGAGGAGCGAAAGCAUGGGGAGCGAACAGGAUUAGAUACCCUGGUAGUCCAUGCCGUAAACGUUGGGCACUAGGUGUGGGGGACAUUCCACGUUUUCCGCGCCGUAGCUAACGCAUUAAGUGCCCCGCCUGGGGAGUACGGCCGCAAGGCUAAAACUCAAAGGAAUUGACGGGGGCCCGCACAAGCGGCGGAGCAUGCGGAUUAAUUCGAUGCAACGCGAAGAACCUUACCAAGGCUUGACA
rnacentral:rRNA from 1 species